rnacentral:rRNA from 1 species
AUACGUAGGUGGCAAGCGUUGUCCGGAAUGCUUGGGCGUAAAGGGCGCGUAGGCGGCCCGGUAAGUCUGGAGUGAAAGCACUGUUUUUAAGAUGGGAAUUGCUUUGGAUACUGUCGGGCUUGAGUGCAGGAGAGGUAAGUGGAAUUCCCAGUGUAGCGGUGCACUGCGUAGAGAUUGGGAGGAACACCAGUGGCGAAGGUGACUUACUGGACUGUAACUGACGCUGAGGCGCGAAAGUGUGGGGAGCAAACAGGAUUAGAUACCCUGGUAGUCCACACUGUAAACGAUGAAUGCUAGGUGUAGGGGGUAUCGACCCCUUCUGUGCCGCAGUCAACACAAUAAGCAUUCCGCCUGGGGAGUACGGCCGCAAGGUUGAAACUCAAAUGAAUCGGCGGGG